AACGAACGCUGGCGGCAUGCCUAACACAUGCAAGUCGAACGAGACCUUCGGGUCUAGUGGCGCACGGGUGCGUAACGCGUGGGAACUUGCCCUUAGGUUCGGAAUAACUCCCCGAAAGGGGUGCUAAUACCGGAUAAUGUCUUCGGACCAAAGAUUUAUCGCCUUUGGAUGGGCCCGCGUUGGAUUAGCUAGUUGGUAGGGUAAAAGCCUACCAAGGCGACGAUCCAUAGCUGGUCUGAGAGGAUGAUCAGCCACACUGGGACUGAGACACGGCCCAGACUCCUACGGGAGGCAGCAGUGGGGAAUAUUGGACAAUGGGCGAAAGCCUAAUCCAGCAAUGCCGCGUGAGUGAUGAAGGCCUUAGGGUUGUAAAGCUCUUUUACCCGGGAUGAUAAUGACAGUACCGGGAGAAUAAGCUCCGGCUAACUCCGUG
rnacentral:rRNA from 1 species